CGAUAAACAUCGUUCGAUAAAACGUCGAACAACACACAACAUUGAAGCGCGAAAUUUCAAAUUCAAGGAAAGAUAAAUAACAAAUAUUGCGAACAAAUGAUAUUAAAUUUACAAUAAUCUCAUGUAAGAAAAAAUAAAAGGGAUAAAAGUAGUACAGAAGAUAGAAAAAUCUAUAAAACUGGUGGCUGGGAAAUAGAAAAUAUAUAAAUUUAUGUUAUUAGAGUUUAGUACUUCUGUCGAUCAAUGUGUUACGACCGUUCGCGGAGAGACGCAGUCGCAGUAGCGAGAGGCGUAAAUUCUCGCUACGAUUCGGUGAAUCGACGCCGCGAAGUAGUGGUUCCCCUGUUUCGGUUAAGAUAAGAGGUGGUUAAAUGAAUAUGACACAGUAUAGUAAGUUAUAUUUCACCGUUUAUUCCAACAACUUAUAACGAAGGCAGUUACGCUGGUGCGUAUGUACGAGAUGAAUAAGUGACUGAUCUGUGGGUGUGUCCUACCCGGUGGAAGGAUAUUGACCGUUCGAAAGAAGAUAAUUUUAGAAACUUCAACCUUUGGAGGUGUUUGUUAAUUAAAAAUGACAAAACUGGUAUUAUGUAAAAAAGAGUAAUGUGUAUCCUGAAUCAAUGUCGAAUGGAAAUUAGACAGUUCUAUAAAAAUAAUCCUUCUCACGAUUCCACAACUUCAUAGCUUAAUUAAAUACAAUUCUUCGGCGAUAUAAUUACAAAUACAUUUACAGGAAUUGUGUAAUAUGAUAAAUAUCUCGUUAAAGAGAUUGAAAUCGUAAACUCUAGAUUCUAGUAUUCUUUCACUUUCAUGUUUCCUAUGAGCCCUUCAAUCGCUAAAUAUUUUGCAAUGAAACACGUAUUAUUAAACAACAUAAUCAUACUAAAUUAAUUUAAUGUGAUUAUUUAUUAUUAUUAUAUAAUAACACAGUGAUGAAAGAAAUAAACUGGUCAAGUAAUCUAAGGAACGAUAAUACGUAUCUAUGUCAGUGACAGUGAGAAAAAUUCAGAUAUCUGUACUUAAGUGAUUACACUUAUAAGUAUCAUUAUAUAUUAUAUAAAUAUGAUAUUUCGAAUGGUAUCAUUUAUCACUCAUUAAACAAGAGUGUCAUAUCCAGAGAAAUGAUUUUACAUAUCUUAAUCUUUGCUUUGAUUACGAUAGUAAUAAUUUCUAUCAAACUUGAUGAGGAAGAUACAUGAAUAAUUAUCUAAAAGCUGAAAAUCUUGGCAAAUUCAUUUGUACAUAAACUAACAGGAGUGAAUUUUAAAGAUACACUCUGCUCUCAACAAUUAAAGCUGUCUUGUCGCAACAAAGUUUCAAUAAUUUUUUAUGGACAACAUGGCCCAGUUUGCACAAAGACUAAAAAUUUUAACAUUAAAUUUGGAUAAACUAUCUUACGAUAGAAGGAAUGAUAUAUCCUUCAUUUUCGCCAAUAAUCUGGUCGAAUUUAGUCAAGUAAAAUGGUAUUGUUUCGUUCAAAAGUUGAUUCUUCCUCGCUUCCUUCUUUUCAGGAUCCUCCUCCAUGCGAUAGUAGCAGAUAGCUGAAACGUAUAUGAAACCAACCGUUACAUUCAUUUGUGUUUUUCCCCCCAAACGAAGAGAAAAUAAGUUGUGAAAGAAGGAGUAGCCUCUCAUAGUUCCUACAAUUUCUUCAUUCUCUUUGCUUUCUUCAAUAUUGCCUCAACAAGUUCCUGUGGUUCACGAUACUUGAAAUAUAUACAAUGUUACCAGCGUGGAAAUUGUCUUGGAAACUUGGAAAAUCUUUCAAGAGGAACAACAUUGCUAACUGAGAUUCGAGAAAGGAAAGGUAUCUCAUGAUCAUGUGAUAACACACAGGAAGAAAGAAUAGAGGAAAAAACAGCGUAAGAAAAAGUUGCGUAAGAGUAUCGUCGCACUACAUCAUUCGACAAUUGAUGCACGUCAUGGCGAUCGUCACGGUUUAAAGCAGGCCAUCAAAAACACGUUUGUUAUCGUACGGAAAAAUCUGCGACGUUCCAGCUGUUCAGGUGCAUCGAAUUGUGAAUCAUCGGCGGUACGAAGCAAGGCGAGGGGCGUAAAUAGAGAAAGAAGAGAAGAGAAGGAUUCGCAUAAAUGAUAAAAUAUAAUCGUUCGUUCCUCGUCGAUGGCGGAUGGAUGGCUUUAAUCGUGGACGAUAUCGAUACGAUUAUAUUUUAUACAUUUGAAACAAAUAUAAAAGACGAGCAAAAACCAGA